CCGUGGCGCUGCCUCGGGCUUCCUUAUUUGGAGGGACGGGGGUGGGAAGAGAAGAGGGCGGAUGCAGGAGCACUGGGAGAAAAAUGCAGAGCUGGCAGAAGGCGGCCCGAGUGCGUGUUGUGGGGAGGGACGGCAAAUUUGCCAAGGCCAGAAACACCCUGGCAAGACCCGAGACACUUAGAUAAAACGCAGAGUGCCCAAUGCGAAUUUCAGCUAGGCAGUGAAUGGUAUCUUCAGUAAAGUCUGUGGGACGAGCUGCGUUCUGGUCACGGGAGCACGGACAGCGGAGGCCAGAAAGCACAGUUCUCAAGCCGCAGCUGCAGCGCCAGCCAGUGAGUGAUUUAUCUCCAGCUGCCUGGGCCGCUUUCUCAGGGUUUCCAUCCUCAGCUGAACUCGUUCAAAGAGGCCCCAAACUUGGAGGCUCCGCGGGAUCUGAGAAGUCUGCAAGACCAAGGCUUCCCACACUGUCACGUGCACAUGCAGCCCCCGGGGAGCUUGUUCCAGUCCCGUGCCAGGCCGACCCAGUCUCAUCAGCCCAGGAUCUCUGGAGACCGGACCCAGGCACCACAAUUUUAAAUAAAACUCCCUGGGUGAUUUUAUCAAUAGUUGGAGUCCUGUGAACCAAGGUGCUUUUCUUUCUUUCUUUC